UAAGGAUUGUUGAACUAUUACAGCCAUUUCAUAAGAAAUGACAGCAGCAAUUUCAAUUAGGAAAAGGGGAAACUAAUAAGAAGGGAAAGAAAAUAAAGCUAACAGAUAACAGAGACGAAUGCAGAAUUACAAUAAACUGGUGUGACAGCUCUUCUGCUAAAGAGGAAGAUCAAAGGUAAAAGAAGGACAGCACUCUCACCCUUUCUGACGGUACCCAGGCAUGUCCAGCAUAGCUUUCCGAGGGAACAGGCGGAGCAGUUUGAGGACCUGCUGCUUCCAGGAGACCAGCCUUUUCUUGUGAGGACAUCCCGCCUGGGAAUGACAUGUGUCCGUUCUGGCCUGCUGAAGGUGUGCUGGAUGAAGGAGACUUGUCGUGCCAAACAAGGCCGGGGUCCAGAGACUCUGCAGAACUGGGCCACUCAUCUGAGCCUUGGCGUGGGUGGUAGGGGCUGGAUGGAGCACGUGGUGUAUACCCACUGGAAAGGUGCUCCUCCAGGUGGUUCA